rnacentral:rRNA from 1 species
CGCGUAGGCGGUUAUGUAAGUCAGAUGUGAAAUCCCCGGGCUCAACCCUGGAACUGCAUCUGAUACUGCGUAACUAGAGUUUGGUAGAGGCAAGUGGAAUUCCGGGUGUAGCGGUGAAAUGCGUAGAUAUCCGGAGGAACACCAGUGGCGAAGGCGGUCACCUGGACAGAUAUUGACGCUGAGGCCCGAAAGCGUGGGGAGCAAACA